rnacentral:rRNA from 1 species
AGACCAGUAUGAAUGGCAAGACGAAAGUUCAACUGUCUCCCUAAAUUAAUCAAUGAAAUUGAUUUUUCCGUGCAGAAGCGGAAAUAUAAUUAUAAGACGAGAAGACCCUAUGGAGCUUUAAACAUAUGAUCAAUUGAGUAACAUAAAAUCCAAAAGAUAAAAUAUUUAAUAAAACAAUAUGAUCAAAAUUUUAGGUUGGGGCGACCACGGAGAAAAACAAAACCUCCGAGAUGAAAAGAAUAUCUUAAUUCAAGAACUACAAUUCUAAAAAAUAAAAUAUUUAACAUAAUUGAUCCAAUACUUUGAUCAACGAACCAAGUUACCCUAGGGAUAACAGCGCAAUCCUCUCCAAGAGUCCCUAUCGACGAGCGGGUUUACGACCUCGAUGUUGGAUCAGGACAUCCCAAUGGUGCAGCCGCUAUUAAAGGUUCGUUUGUUCAACGAUUAAAGUCCUACGUGAUC